GGCCAGUUAGCUCAGUUGGUCAAAGCGUAGUGCUAAUAACGCCAAGGUCAUGGGUUCAACCCCCAUACAGGCCA